GCCGAUGUAGCUCAGUUGGUAGAGCGGCGCAUUCGUAACGCGCAGGUCACCAGUUCAAUCCUGGUCAUCGGCU
rnacentral:tRNA from 1 species